ensembl:snRNA U6 U6 spliceosomal RNA
GUGCUCACUUCAGCAGCACAUAUACUAAAAUUGGAACGAUACAAAGAGGAUUAGCAUGGCCCCUGUGCCAAACAGACGUGCAAAUUCAUGAACCACUCCGCAUUUUU